UUUUUUUUUCUUCUUAUUUUCUUUGGAUUCCAUUGGCUCUUUUCUACUUUCUUUAAAUAGAAGAGUAGGCCAUUGAUCUGAGAUCAUUCUUUUUUAAUGCAAGCAUUUGCUGCAAUAAAUUGGCCUCUAAAAUCUUCUUGGGCUGCAUUUCACAAAUUCUGAUAUGUGUGUUUUCAUUUUCAAUCUGUUAAAGAGAGUUGUUUUUGUUAUUUUUAAGGAGAGUCAGGUAAUCCCAUUUUAUUUUAUUUUUUAUGGCUACUCUCAUUGCAUAUGAAAAUUCCAAGGCCAGAGAUUGAAUCUGAGCUGCAGCUACAAUCUACACCUCAGCUGGAGCAACACCAGAUCUUUUAACCACUGGCCAGGCCAGGGAUCAAACCUGCACCUCCACAGCUACCUGAGCCACUGCAGUCAGAUUCUUAACCUACUGUGCCACAGUGGGUACUCCCUAAAAAUAGUUUUUAGUUUUGAUUUUGGUUUCUUCUUUAACCCAUAAUUUAUAAAUGUGUUAUUUAGUUUAUAUAUAGUUUUUAGUUUAUAAUUAUUGGAGGAUUUUUCAGAGAUCUGUUAUUGAUUUCUAAUGUUAAUUCCAUUAGAAAUCAGAAAAUAUUUCUUUGAUUUGAAUUGUGUUACAUUUAUAGACUUGUUUUAUGGUCUAAUUUGGUAAAUGUUCUGUGUGCUCUUAAAAAUAAUACAUGUUCUACUGCUGUUGGGUGCCAUGUUCUGUAAAUGUCAAUUAGGAACAAUCUGUGUGAUAAUACUGUUCAGUUUGUCUACACUCAUACUGAUUUUCUAUUAAUUCUUCAUUGAAAUUAUGGAUUUAUUUAUCGACUGUAUCUUGGUUGUGUUUGUUAUUUAUUUUUGUUUUUUGGCCACAACCAAAGCAUGUGGAAGUUCCUGGGCUAGGGAUCGAACUUGUGCCAUAACAGGAAUCCAAACCACUUCAGUGACACCUCCAGAUCCUUAACCUGCUGCACCACAAGAGAAUUACAAUUGUAUCUGGUUUUUUUUUUGUGUGUGUGUGUCUUUUUUUUUGCUAUUUCUUGGGCCGCUCCUGCCGCAUAUGGAGGUUCCCAGAAAGAGAAAAGCCAAAAAAAAAAAAAAAAAAAAAAAAAGAAAACAAGAAAACAAACAAACAAACAAAAAAACACCUAAAAGCUGUCUGUAUGUUUAUAUGCCCAUAAUUUAAAUACAUCUUUCCCUUUAAUUAUGUAAACAUGUAACAGUUUCCUACCUCUGGAUAAUUCUAAUCAGUCAGAUUUUUAAAUCCUUUACAUUGAAGGAGCUCUAAUGUGAGUGUCUUAGAGAUAAAUAAGUAUUCAUAUAAAUGGCUAUUCUCAAUGUUCAGAAAUUAGGAAAAGUGAGUAUCGAUUUCAAUGUGAAAAAAGAGGUUUUCUUAUAGAGACUAAUUCAUUUUAAGAAUUUGUAUUCACCUACUUUGUCAAACAAAACUAGAUUAAUAAUUUUAGUUUAACUCAAAGAACUAUGCUUUGUUUAUCUGAGUCAUCAGUGUUAUCAGUAUAAUGCAAGUACACAUUUUUAUCCUACUUAUGUUCUUUCUAAACAUAGAUUUACUAAUCAAAUGAGCUAGCAUUAUUUCUACUUACUGAGAUUAUAAAAAAUGUAAAUCUAGGUUUAACCAAAUUGAACCACUAUACUGACGAACUUUAUUUCAACAGUAAUUAUAUUUUACAGUAUGUAAUUUUGAGGAUAAUUUCCAAGAUCUUUUAAGUAAUUUAAAUCUUGGACUGCUAUUUAAUUUAGCUACUUAAUGGAUAUUCAUUAGAUAACUAGAUAAUUUUGAAAUAGAAUACUGUAACAUUAGUUACAGAGCAUAAUUUUAAGUUUAUAUACUUUUGGUCUUUUAUAUUUAUAUGGUACAGAGAGGCUUAUAUAUUUGUGUCUGUUAAAGAACAUGUUCAUUUUUUGCCUUUUUGAGAAAUGGUAUUGUAAGGAAUAUGGCUUUGUUAAGGGAAAAAGAGAAGAGGUUUAUCUUAAAAUUAAAUGACUGAUUCUUCUAGAUUGAGGAAGAAAAAAGUUUAAGAAAAAAGCUGAAUGGUUAUAGAAAGCUGCAGAAGGUUCAUGAAAAGGAAAUUUAUUUUUAUUAAUUCUAGUAAGGUUUAUCUAAUGGGUUAUUUAGAAAAGUUUGUGUUUACAUUUCCUUAGAAUAUUUGUCUAAGAAUUUGUAAAAGUAAGUUUUCCUUUACCGUCUGAGUAUUCUGCCUUGGAGGCAAAAAAUACAUACAAGGAAAAGUUCCUGUGCUUUAUGUUGCCUUUAUCAUUUCUUUGGGUUUAGAAGAUACCAAACCUUCUCAGUUUUGAAAGUACCAAGAUUCUCUACAAUUGGGUUACUGCCUAUGUUUACUUUUAGAGUCUUUUAUUGUCACUUGGAUUAAAUAGGAAGUAUUAUUUCUCAGUAACCCAAGACUGGGCCUUCAUCAAAUCUUUUGACAACUUUUCGCAUUUCUGCUUUCCAAAGAACAAAUUUGGAAAUGGUAUCUUUUGCACCUAAAAAUUUGAAAGAAGCUAGAGGGUGAUGUGACAGUAAUGGGGAGGAUAUUUCUUUUAAAAUGAAAAAUCAGGAGAGCCAUUCUGUCUCGCUACCUUCCCAGAUACACUCUAACAGAGGUCCGCCUAUGUGCUAUUUUUUUAAACUUAAUUUUAUUGGAGUAGAGUUUUUUGUUUGUUUGUUUUGUCCUUUUGCCAUUUCUUGGGCUGCUCCUGAAGCAUAUGGAGGUUCCCAGGCUAGGGGUCGAGGUGGAGUUGUAGCCACCAGCCUACGCCAGAGCCAUAGCAACGCGGGAUCUGAGCCACGUCUGCAACCUACACCACAGC
ensembl:lncRNA